GAUGAACGCUGGCGGCGUGCCUAAUACAUGCCAGUCGAGCGAACGGACGAGAAGCUUGCUCCCCUGAUGUUAGCGGCGGACGGGUGAGUAACACGUGGAUAACCUACCUAUAAGACUGGGAUAAUUUCGGGAAACCGGAGCUAAUACCGGAUAAUAUUUUGAACUGCAUGGUGCAAAAGUGAAAGACGCCAUUCGGGCACGUAUAAGUGGAUCCCGGGUUGAAUAAGUAGGUUGGUAAGGUAACGGCUUACCAAGGCACGGACGCAUACCCGACCGGAGCGGGUGGUCGGCCACCCUGGCACUGAGACACCGUCCCGACUCCUACGGGGGGCAACCGUAGGGAAUCUUCCGCAAUGGGCGAAAGGCUGACGGAGCAACGCCGCGUGAGUGAUGAAGGUCUUCGGAUCGGUAAACUCUGUUAUUAGGGAAGAACAUAUGUGUAAGUAACUGUGCACAUCUUGACGGUACCUAAUCAGAAAGCCACGGCUAACUCCGUG
rnacentral:rRNA from 1 species